GGUGUAGGCGGCUCUAUAAGUCAGAAGUGAAAGCCCCGGGCUUAACCUGGGAAGUGCUUUUGAUACUGCAGAGCUUGAAUGUGGGAGAGGGUAGUGGAAUUCCAGGUGUAGUGGUGAAAUACGUAGAUAUCUGGAGGAACACCGGUGGCGAAGGCGGCUACCUGGCCCAACAUUGACGCUGAGACCCGAAAGCAUGGGGAUCAAACA
rnacentral:rRNA from 1 species